UUGCUCACUUCGGCAGCACAUAUACUAAAAUUGAAACGAUACAGAGAAGGUUAGCAUGGCCCCUGUGCCAGGAUGACAUGCAAAUUCGUGAAACAUUCCAUAUUUUU
ensembl:snRNA U6 U6 spliceosomal RNA